GCAGGGCAGCUCCUGUCUUGUCCCCAAGCAGCUGACUCCCAAAGAGGAGGAAGGGCAGGUGCUGGAAAGCACAGGCUAAACUUCUUCCCUAAACUGCACUGGUAGAAUGAAUGAAGGGAUAAAGAGAGGCCAGGACUGUUACUCUAACAGAAUUCUGUCUACAUGGAGGCAAGCAUCAGGAACAGUGAUUACUCCCUGACUAACAUUUUCCAUUAUUUCUUAAUAGGUCACAUGUUUCCCUGCCUCUGUAUCCUGUUUAACAUCUAUCCUGUCUGAAAUGCCCUUUCAGUGCUCACUUCAGCAGCACAUAUACUAAAAUUGGAAGGAUACAGAGAAGAUUAACAUGGCCUCUGUGCAAGGAUGAAAUGUCCUCUCAAUCAUCAUCAUUUAUCUGAAUUUCAUGUGUCCUUAAAAACCAGGUGGAGUUUGACUUCCUCAGUUGAGUCUUCUCUGACUGCUGCUGUGGGUAAACUUUCCCUGUACCAAGAGCAAUCUGCUUGGAGUCCCCACAGCAGUUCCCCAAAGCCUGAUUGACACCGACAUUACCCACAGGAGAGUUUACCCACACCAAAACCUUGGCCUCACUCUUGGAGAAUCUGAUCAGAUCUUAAGCGGAGUUUAAGAAUCUGUAUUUUUAAAAAGUCUCUUGGGAUAGUUCUAAUAAUCUGCCUUGUCCAGAAACCACCGUCCAGUCAUUAUUUGCAUGAACCUUUUGACACUCACAGCCCUGGUUGUAAGAGGGGAGAAAUGCAUCUCACAAAGUAAAAGGGUUACACAAAGGUGCAUAGGAUAUAGAGCACAGAGGAGCUUAGUUAGGAUGGGCAUCACGGAAAAGAGGCUUAAACGUGGGUGAGGAGACAAUGGUGCCAAUUGUGGGGAAGUAGUGGGGAUAACCUCCAGCAAUUUCUCUGCAGCCAAAAAUGACUUCAGAUAUCAAGAGGGCAUAAGAGAAUUAUAUGACCGUUGUCUGUAAAGGAGUAUGAUCAUAAUACCUUUGUAGAGUUGUUGGGUGAAUUACGUAAAAAAGUAUACCAAGUAUGUAAUGCACCUAGCAUAGUUCCCAAAAUGUAGAAGAUACAGC
rnacentral:lncRNA from 1 species